rnacentral:lncRNA from 9 species
AUGGAGUGGUCCAGCUGGAGCCUCGCUCCCAGCAUCCUACGCGCGUCAUCACGUCAUAGAUGCGCACGUAGACCAAGCGCGGCCACGGCUGCUGCGCACGGCUGUGCAUGGCCUCCCAGCACAUGCGUCCUGUUGUGCGGCGCUGCGACGCGGCACUCACAGUGUCCAGCAGGUAGUGGGCGAACCGUGGUCUGUGGCAGGCCACCUGGUGCAUGUUUUUCCUGCAUCCACUGUCGUCGUUGCCAUUCCCAUCACGCACAGCUUGUCAGGAGGGUAGCCCUGCCAGGCCGGGCUCACCGUGAAGAGAUUUGCUUUUGUUGUAAACCUUAUGGACUAUAUAAAGCUACUGUGAAGGUUUAAAAAGGGAGUAUUUGUCAAUGUGAACCCUUGUGCUUCUGCUGCAUCUGUUGAGACCUUCCGUCAUGAGCAAUGCCCACUGAACUACAGAUUGCAGAUUCUCAUCAGAGAACAAGGCCACCCAUGAA